UGGGGAAUAUUGCACAAUGGGCGCAAGCCUGAUGCAGCCAUGCCGCGUGUAUGAAGAAGGCCUUCGGGUUGUAAAGUACUUUCAGCGGGGAGGAAGGGAGUAAAGUUAAUACCUUUGCUCAUUGACGUUACCCGCAGAAGAAGCACCGGCUAACUCCGAGCCAGCAGCCGCGGUAAUACGGAGGGUGCAAGCGUUAAUCGGAAUUACUGGGCGUAAAGCGCACGCAGGCGGUUUGUUAAGUCAGAUGUGAAAUCCCCGGGCUCAACCUGGGAACUGCAUCUGAUACUGGCAAGCUUGAGUCUCGUAGAGGGGGGUAGAAUUCCAGGUGUAGCGGUGAAAUGCGUAGAGAUCUGGAGGAAUACCGGUGGCGAAGGCGGCCCCCUGGACGAAGACUGACGCUCAGGUGCGAAAGCGUGGGGAGCAAACAGG
rnacentral:rRNA from 1 species